rnacentral:rRNA from 1 species
CAGCAGCCGCGGUAAUACCGGCGGCCCGAGUGGCGGUCACUAUUAUUGGGCUUAAAGCGUCCGUAGCCGGGUUGGGAAGUCCUCCGGGAAAUCUGGCCGCUUAACGGUCAGAAUGCCGGAGGAUACUCCCAGCCUAGGGAGCGGGAGAGGCCGAGGGUAUUCCCGGAGUAGGGGUGAAAUCCUAUAAUCCCGGGAGGACCACCUGUGGCGAAGGCGCUCGGCUGGAACGCGUCCGACGGGGAGGGACGAAGGCCAGGGGAGCAAACCGGAUUAGAUACCCGGGUAGUCCUGGCUGUAAACGAUGCGGACUUUGUGUCGGACAAGCUAUGAGCUUGUCCGGUGCCGGAGGGAAACCGUUAAGUCCGCCGCCUGGGGAGUACGGCCGCAAGGCUGAAACUUAAAGGAAUUGGCGGG